CGUGUCAAGGAAAUAUUAUUUAUUUUUUAAUUUAUUAUUGUCGUAACAUUUUCGAUGCGUUUCCUUCCGUUUUGUACACAUAACUCGGCGGCUGGGUGUCUGUACCGAAAGCGCAAAUAUUAUCCCCGCGCCGUCGCCGAAAGGUCAACUUUGCCAACGGACGUCCGCGUAUUUAUAAUAUUGUACUUCGCGGCGGUCGGUAAGUACGUACCUGUGCGUGGAAUACUAUUUACGACGCCCGGGGAAAACUAGGCCGGCUAUAGUAAAAUUAUUAGGAUUUCACGGGCACAACGAGGAACCGGA